rnacentral:lncRNA from 1 species
UGAUUCCCAAAUGUGGCCGAUUGCUCUUUCCCGCUGCCCCCUUUGUAUGUGCUAAAGAAUCUGAGCAUCCUUGAUUUUAUUUUUGGAUGACGACAACCGCGAAUUUUGAUCCCUCCUCGAUUUUCGUUUUGUACCGCUGACUUCCUGGUUUCUUCCCUUGAGCUGUAUCUUGAUUCUGCCGGAGGAACUUUGGAUGCAUAUUAUAUUUGGUUAUCGGGGUUUUAUAUAUAUAUAUAUAUAGUGAUGAAAACAGUGAGAGUCCAUCCUAGCUCAUUGUAUGUGUUGAAGAGGAGGAUU